CGGGAAGAGCUCAAAUUUAAAAUCUGGCAGCCUUGUGUUGUCCGAGUUGUAAUUUGUAGAGGAUGCUUUUGGUGCGGUGCCUUCCGAGUUCCCUGGAACGGGACGCCUUAGAGGGUGAGAGCCCCGUACGGUUGGACGCCUAGCCUCUGUAAAGCUCCUUC
rnacentral:rRNA from 1 species